rnacentral:rRNA from 1 species
CCUACGGGGGGCGGCAGUGAGGAAUAUUGGUCAAUGGACGAGAGUCUGAACCAGCCAAGUAGCGUGAAGGAUGACUGCCCUAUGGGUUGUAAACUUCUUUUAUAUGGGAAUAAAAUGUUCCACGUGUGGGAUUUUGUAUGUACCAUAUGAAUAAGGAUCGGCUAACUCCGUGUCAGCAGCCGCGGUAAUACGGAGGAUCCGAGCGUUAUCCGGUUUUAUUGUGUUUAAAGGGGGCGUAGGUGGAUUGUUAAGGCAGUUGUGAAAGUUUUCGGCUCAACCGUAAAAUUGCAGUUGAAACUGGCAGUCUUGAGUACAGUAGAGGUGGGCGGAAUUCGUGGUGUAGCGGUGAAAUGCUUAGAUAUCACGAAGAACUCCGAUUGCGAAGGCAGCUCACUGGACUGCAACUGACACUGAGGCGCGAAAGUGUGGGUAUCAAACAGGAUUAGAGACCCGAGUAGUC